AAAACACAUCUCAGCUCUCCGUAUCCUGGAAUCUAGCUGAGCGUAUGGAAAAAAAGAAGAGUUUAAUAAGUCAGAUAACAUGACAUCAGCUGACAUAUCGUAGUAUUAAAUUCCAACCCACGAAACCAUCACGCAUAAAUCCAAAGGCUAUGAGAUUCAGAGGACUUAAGAGAUGAUGAACAUUAGAUGUAUUACCGCACUGUGAGAUAAAGCUCCCAGCUUUUUAAUAGAAGAUGAAGAAAUUCACUGGCCCACUGCUGGGUUCUUUUCAUCAGGCGUGUAUGACCGAGAAAGGCCAAAACUCACAACUAAAUUCUGUGAAAUGGUGAGGACAUGAAGAAUAUUUAGAGAAGUAUGAGAAAUAUUGAGUGCUUCUAGGAAAGCAUUUGUUUCUCUGCUGCUAAAUCAAACUGAUUCAUGUUUAAAAAAUUAACUCUGCAACAGAAUGACUUAUUGAACAUGUUAAAUAAAUGCCAUUUGUAUUUGCAGUAAAAACAAAAACAGGAUUGAUGUGGAUUUUUUCUGCAAAGUCCAGUCGAGUGUAAUAAGGGUGUGGGCAAUUAUUGGACAGAGGCGAUCAGGUUGGCAACAGAUAAGAAAAAAAGUCCCCCCCCCCAAUGCUGUCUGGUCCACCCAGAUGUCAUCACAGUAUGCUAAUGAGCCGGGGGGCCUUUAAGUGCCGGAGCCCAGCAAGCAGAGUGGUUAGGAGCCUGUGGACCCGUCGUGGACGCAUAGCAGCCAUAAAAUAUGAGCAUCUGAAGGAAAGUGUCAGCGAGCCAUAAAAGAUGCCCCCCGCAUCCCCACUGCGUGCAAAAAUGAUUACAAGCACAGCGGGAGCUCGCUGCUUUCAGUUAAUGUCUUGUGCCCUGGACAGGAUAUCAUCUUAUACUGUAAGUUUAUUAAAGAGACACUACAGUAUAGAUGAUGUACUAUCCAGGGUUUCAUUCCCCCUCCGGCACUAUCAGCUCACACUCAGGCCUAACUGACUGCGGACCGCUGCACAGAGGAGGGCCGUCAAACCGUUACCAUUACUGAGUUUUAGUAAUGGUAAGGGUUAUAUGGCCCUCGCUCAAUGUCAUCAGGAGCGGGACGACAAAGUUGGUGAUUGAUGUGUUAUUCAUGAGUAUUUCGAUUACAUUUUGGAGAUGUACUUGUGGAUGGGUGUAAAAUAAAGCUUGUGGCUCCCAAACAAA